UGGGGAAUAUUGCACAAUGGGCGCAAGCCUGAUGCAGUCAUGCCGCGUGGGUGAAGAAGGCCUUCGGGUUGUAAAGCACUUUCAGCGGGGAGGAAGGCGUUAAGGUUAAUAACCUUGGCGAUUGACGUUACCCGCAGAAGAAGCACCGGCUAACUCCGUGCCAGCAGCCGCGGUAAUACGGGGGGUGCAAGCGUUAAUCGGAAUUACUGGGCGUAGAGCGCACGCAGGCGGUCUGUCAAGUCGGAUGUGAAAUCCCCGGGCUCAACCUGGGAACUGCAUUCGAAGAUGGCAGGCUAGAGUCUUGUGGAGGGGGGUAGAAUACCAGGUGUAGCGGUGAAAUGCGUCGAGGUCAGGAGGAAUACCGGUGGCGAAGGCGGCCCCCUGGACAAAGACUGACGCUCCGGUGCGAAGGCGUGGGGAGCAAACAGG
rnacentral:rRNA from 1 species